UCUGGCAAUGUUUGGUAAAAUUUGGCUAAGUAGUUUCAGAGAAGAAGAUUUUUGAAAAAGUUUACUUAGAUUUACGAAAAAAUGGACUAUAAAGGGCAAUAACUCCUGAAGGGGUCAACUGACCAUAUUGGUUCUCUUGACUAAUUUGUAAAUCUUACUUUGCUGAACAUUUUUGCUAUUUACAGUUUAUCUCUAUCCAUAAUAAUAUUCAAGAUAAUAACCAUUAUAUAUAUGUUUAUUAUCC
rnacentral:lncRNA from 1 species